rnacentral:ncRNA from 1 species
GUGACUCUGGAGAAGCUCGACGAACGAGUGCCGAAGGUGCAAUGCGGGACCGGCUCAGCCCCCGUAAAUCUCUCAGGCAAAAGGACAGAGACGA